CAUUUCACCUGUUUCAGUUGAGCAAGCAGAAACAGCUGCUGUGGAUGAAGCAAGCUCCAGACCUCUUGCUUGCUUUGUGGAGCAACAUAAGACCAAACCACAACCCAAGGAGAAUAAAAAGCCCACCAGAUCUAUUACUAUGUUUAUUUUAGAAGAAAUAUAGCAGCAAGAUAUUCUUUACAAGAAAGAGCAGACUAAAGGGAAUUAGUGUGGCUCUCAUGGGGCCCCACCUGAGGAGCUCCUGGUUUAGAAGAGAAUGAGGAGUUCCUGCAAGUCUUCUGAGGAGAAUACUGCCCACCCCUCAGAUGAGGAAGAAGGUCCCUGUGGAGGUAGAAGCCUUCAUUGUUGGAGAAUUUGCACAGGGAGAAAAAAAAAAUAACAUAUUUAAUGCAUGGCAGUAAAGCUGAAAUCUGAAUCGUCAAAGAUGAAGCUUUUAAUGUCAGAGUGACUGCCAAAAAAGGAUUGUUGAGAAGCUGGAAGGUCUGACUAUGUGUCCGUUACAAGCCUUUACAAACACAAUGAUGGCAUCUGUAGUAUAAUUUGUGACUACCGUGGCUGUGCUGACAAAAACUGCUUACCUAUACACUUGCACAACCCAAAAUAGGGUUGUGAUGAUGUGGUUAAUUAUAGUUCUUUAGUCUGCAUUAAAUGAAUGAUUGUCAGACAGGUCAAGAUGAGGUGAUAUGACAUAAGCAAAGCCCAAUAAUUUGAAUACCAGAAACUAACUGGUUAUUAACUAUCUAAUGUUAAUAGCUUUGAGAUGUUCAUUUUUAUAUAUGCCGACGUGCAUGUGCUUUAGGUAAUAUUGCAAUUCUAUUUGCAGUAAUACUACUGUAAUUCCUAAAAAGGGAAGUAAAUUGUAGAUGGAACUAGAUUGCCUCUAUUUUGGUUUGGUGUUGGUAGCGAUGCAACUUUUGUGUAACUCUUGUGAUGCUCUGAUGCCAGAUUAAGGUGACACUGUGGUUGCUAUCCUGCCUUCUGCUUUCACUAGAAUGAGUUUUGAAAUAGAGUUUAAAAAAAAUUAAUGUUUGAACACAUUAUUAAAGGGAACUUAUGAAUCCUAGAAGAUGCUACCUUUCUAACCCAGUUAAGUUAAAAUCUUGGCUAUAUAAAUUACAGAUAUUUAUUCAAGUACUUUAGCUUCUUAUAAGUGACGUAUAAGAGGCAGCUGCAGAUUAUAUUUUCACUGUGAUCUUGGGACAGAUUG
rnacentral:lncRNA from 1 species